rnacentral:tRNA from 2 species
GCAGAUAUAGUAUAUCGGUAGUACAUCAGCUUCCCAAGCUGAGGGGGUGGGUUCGACUCCCAUUAUCUGCUCUA